GAGUUUGAUCGUGGCUCAGAUUGAACGCUGGCGGCAUGCCUUACACAUGCAAGUCGAACGGCAGCAUGAUCUAGCUUGCUAGAUUGAUGGCGAGUGGCGAACGGGUGAGUAAUACAUCGGAACGUGCCCUGUAGUGGGGGAUAACUAGUCGAAAGAUUAGCUAAUACCGCAUACGACCUGAAGGUGAAAGUGGGGGACCGCAAGGCCUCAUGCUAUAGGAGCGGCCGAUGUCUGAUUAGCUAGUUGGUGGGUAAAGGCCCACCAAGGCGACGAUCAGUAGCUGGUCUGAGAGGACGAUCAGCCACACUGGGACUGAGACACGGCCCAGACUCCUACGGGAGGCAGCAGUGGGGAAUUUUGGACAAUGGGCGAAAGCCUGAUCCAGCAAUGCCGCGUGUGUGAAGAAGGCCUC
rnacentral:rRNA from 1 species